GACGAACGCUGGCGGCGUGCUUAACACAUGCAAGUCGAGCGGUAAGGCCCUUUCGGGGGUACACGAGCGGCGAACGGGUGAGUAACACGUGGGUGACCUGCCCUCAGCUCUGGGAUAAGCCUGGGAAACUGGGUCUAAUACUGGAUAUGACUCCACGGUGCAUGUCGUGGGGUGGAAAGCCUUGUGCGGCUGAGGAUGGGCCCGCGGCCUAUCAGCUUGUUGGUGGGGGAUGGCCUACCAAGGCGACGACGGGUAGCCGGCCUGAGAGGGCGACCGGCCACACUGGGACUGAGACACGGCCCAGACUCCUACGGGAGGGCAGCAGUGGGGAAUCUUGCGCAAUGGGCGAAAGCCUGACGCAGCGACGCCGCGUGAGGGAUGACGGCCU
rnacentral:rRNA from 1 species